AAACGGACUAAGUAUUAGACAAAAUCCUAUGAGAAUAACAAAUUUAACAUCAAAACCAAAUACAUGAAUUUGGGAUAGAUAAGUACCGUGACACAUCUUAUAGUAAUGUGAAUGCCCACUCACAAAUAAGAGAAAACAAACAACACAACGGAAACACAACGUUAAAAUGUAACACUCACAGAAACAAACUAUAAUAUAACAAUGGCC
rnacentral:lncRNA from 1 species